rnacentral:rRNA from 1 species
GACGAACGCUGGCGGCGUGCCUAAUACAUGCAAGUCGAGCGAAUCUGAUGGGAGCUUGCUCCUUGAUGAUUAGCGGCGGACGGGUGAGUAACACGUGGGUAACCUGCCUGUAAGACUGGGAUAACUCCGGGAAACCGGGGCUAAUACCGGAUAACUUUUUUCUUCGCAUGAGGGAGAAUUGAAAGAUGGCUUCGGCUAUCACUUACAGAUGGACCCGCGGCGCAUUAGCUAGUUGGUGAGGUAACGGCUCACCAAGGCGACGAUGCGUAGCCGACUUGAGAGGGUGAUCGGCCACACUGGGACUGAGACACGGCCCAGACUCCUACGGGAGGCAGCAGGAGGGAAUCUUCCGCAAUGGACGAAAGUCUGACGGAGCAACGCCGCGUGAGUGAUGAAGGUUUUCGGAUCGUAAAACUCUGUUGUUAGGGAAGAACAAGUAUCGUUCGAAUAGGGCGGUACCUUGACGGUACCUAACCAGAAAGCCACGGCUAACUACGUG